AACGAACGCUGGCGGCAGGCCUAACACAUGCAAGUCGAACGAACCUUCGGGUUAGUGGCGCACGGGUGCGUAACACGUGGGAAUAUACAUUUCGGUAAGGAAUAACACAGAGGAAUUUGUGCUAAUACCUUAUAAUGACUCCGGUCCAAAGAUUUAUCGCCGAAGGAUUAGCCCGCGCUAGAUUAGUUUGUUGGUGAGGUAAGAGCUCACCAAGACUACGAUCUAUAGCUGGUCUUAGAGGAUGAUCAGCCACACUGGAACUGAGACACGGUCCAGACUCCUACGGGAGGCAGCAGUGAGGAAUAUUGGACAAUGGGGGCAACCCUGAUCCAGCCAUGCCGCGUGAAUGAAGAAGGCCUUAGGGUUGUAAAAUUCUUUCAGAUGCGAAGAUAAUGACGGUACCAUCAGAAGAAGCUCCGGCUAAAUUCGUG
rnacentral:rRNA from 1 species